GACGAACGCUGGCGGCGUGCUUAACACAUGCAAGUCGAACGGAAAGGCCUGCUUUCCCUUGUGGAUUGCGGGUACUCGAGUGGCGAACGGGUGAGUAACACGUGAGUGAUCUGCCCCCAACUUGGGUAUAAGCCUGGGAAACUGGGUCUAAUUCCCGAUAGGACUGCAGGGUGGUGCCUGUGGUGGAAAACGAUUUUCUAGUGGUUGGGGAUGAGCUCGCGGCCUAUCAGCUUGUUGGUGGGGUAAUGGCCUACCAAGGCGGCGACGGGUAGCCGGCCUGAGAGGGUGGACGGCCACAUUGGGACUGAGAUACGGCCCAGACUCCUACGGGAGGCAGCAGUGGGGAAUAUGGCACAAUGGGCGGAAGCCUGAUGCAGCGACGCCGCGUGGGGGAUGACGGCCUUCGGGUUGUAAACUCCUUUCGACCGCGAGGAAGCCACCUGGUUGGAAGGGUGGUGACGGUAGUGGUAGAAGAAGCACCGGCUAACUACGUG
rnacentral:rRNA from 1 species